GACGUAGGGCGCGAGCGUUGUCCGGAAUUAUUGGGCGUAAAGAGCUCGUAGGCGGCUUGUUGCGUCGGCUGUGAAAACCCGCGGCUCAACCGUGGGCUUGCAGCCGAUACGGGCAGGCUAGAGUUCGGUAGGGGAGACUGGAAUUCCUGGUGUAGCGGUGAAAUGCGUAGAUAUUGGGAGGAACACCAGUGGCGAAGGCGGCUCACUGGACCGGAACUGACGCUGAUGCGCGAAAGCGUGGGGAGCAAACGGG
rnacentral:rRNA from 1 species